rnacentral:lncRNA from 1 species
GACAGCAGAGGAGCCUGCAAGCCCUUGUUUACUGCAGCGCUCUUCAGAACAGCCAUUGUGGAAUCAGCUCAUCAGCGGGUGAACGGAUGAAGAAAAUGUAGCACCUAUACAGAAUGUUGUUUAUCCAUUAAGGAGAAUGCAAGAGUGUCGCUUCCAGGAAAAUGGAUGGCACUAGGAGCGAUCACGUUGAAUGUAAUAAGCCAGAGUUGUAAGACAGGGACGGCCUACCAGGAGCCUGCUUUCAAAUCCAAGGAUGCUCCAAGGAUGAUGCUACUAACGGGAUGACGAUGAUGAUGAUGAUGUAAACAUGGCAAGAUGAGAAGUUAGAGAAUCUGUGUGGAAGGAUUCAAGGAACGCUUCCACACUGUCGGUGACUUCGUACAACAAGUACAGCUGCCGUGGAAACCAGUGUGGUCGUGCCGCUGAGCGCUGCAAAGUGACCUAACCUGCCAUUCCGUUAUAUUGCUCCUAAGUACAUAUCCUUUUAUAUUAGUGUGCACUUAGUUGUACUAAAUAGACCUUUUCUUCCAUGUAUUUCAGACUAUUGAUCAUCCCCCCUUCUUUCUUCCCUAACAACCGCUUCUAUACUUUCAUGACUUUAAAAUGAUUCUAUGAACAAUACUUGCUUCCGAGCCCAGCUUACCUCACUUGACUUGAUUUUCAAUUGUGAUGGCUGUUCCUGGUUGUCGACUUGACCACACCUGGAAUGAACUGCAAUCCCGAAAUGGAGGACACACCUGUGAUCCAGAUCUCGGGGCUUCUGACCCGGAUCGUCACAUAGGAUGACACACACUUUUGAUCCAAAUCUUGAGGCAUACUGGCCAUGAAAAGCUUUGGCUCAGGCAAGGUAUACACGCCUUUAAUCCCAGGAGACAGAGGCAAGCAGAUCUCUGAGUUCAAGACGAGCCUGGGACAGAGCAAGUUCCAAAUCCAUACCUUUAAUCUGGGCCACACCUUCUGCUGGAGGCCUACAUAAGGAUGAUGGAAGAAGGAAGGCUCCCACUUCUUCAUCCUUCCUAUCACCCACACUUCAAACUUCCCCGGGCACAAACUAUGAUUUGCUCCCCCAUUUUCUCAUAGCACAGGUACCUGUCUGAUCUCCAGAAUUCAAGGAACACUUCCACACUGUUGUUGGUGGUGGUGUAAAGUAAGUGUGUAAAAUGGUGUACAAGGCAUAUGUGUAGUCACUUUAGAAAUAAGUCUUCUCCUGUCAAGACCUCUCACCAGACUGCAGCUCCAGGAGACACUUAGAGAGAUUUCAGAGCAGGGGAGCCAGGUAAGACUGCUUGCACUUCCUUGCCAGCGCAUCUGUUGGAACCUGCUUCUUCGGGAUUCCAGCUUAGACAGAAGGCCAGCCGGAACAAUGAGCUUCUAGGGACUGAGCAACUACUAGAUUCUUGGACUUGCCAUUCCCAGCUGCCCGUUGCUGAGUUAGUUGGACUGCAGCCUGUAAGUCAUUCCAAUGAAUUCCCUUAAUAGACAGAGACAUUCUGUAAGUUCUGUGACUCUGGAGAACCCUGACUAAUAUACCAGCUUCCCCCCUUUUCCCACAGAUAUGAUUU